rnacentral:rRNA from 1 species
GACGAACGCUGGCGGCGUGCUUAACACAUGCAAGUCGAACGGAAAGGCCCUGCUUUUGUGGGGUGCUCGAGUGGCGAACGGGUGAGUAACACGUGAGUAACCUGCCCUUGACUUUGGGAUAACUUCAGGAAACUGGGGCUAAUACCGGAUAGGAGCUCCUGCUGCAUGGUGGGGGUUGGAAAGUUUCGGCAGUUGGGGAUGGACUCGCGGCUUAUCAGCUUGUUGGUGGGGUAGUGGCUUACCAAGGCUUUGACGGGUAGCCGGCCUGAGAGGGUGACCGGCCACAUUGGGACUGAGAUACGGCCCAGACUCCUACUGGAGGCAGCAGUGGGGAAUAUUGCACAAUGGGCGGAAGCCUGAUGCAGCAACGCCGCGUGCGGGAUGACGGCCUUCGGGUUGUAAACCGCUUUCGCCUGUGACGAAGCGUGAGUGACGGUAAUGGGUAAAGAAGCACCGGCUAACUACGUG